UAGGUAAAUCCGGUUUCUUGUUAGGCUGAGACACGACGUCGAGCUACUACGGUAGUGAAGUCAUUGAUGCCAUGCUUCCAGGAAAAGCCUCUAAGCUUCAGAUUAUAAGCAAUCGUACCCCAAACCGACACAGGUGGUCGGGUAGAGAAUACCAAGGCGCUUGAGAGAACUCGGGUGAAGGAACUAGGCAAAAUGGUACCGUAACUUCGGGAGAAGGUACGCUCUUGGCGGUGAAGUCCCUAGCGGAUGGAGCUACUGAGAGUCGCAGAUACCAGGUGGCUGCAACUGUUUAUUAAAAACACAGCACUGUGCAAAAUCGUAAGAUGACGUAUACGGUGUGACGCCUGCCCGGUGCCGGAAGGUUAAUUGAUGGGGUUAGACUUCGGUCGAAGCUCUUGAUCGAAGCCCCGGUAAACGGCGGCCGUAACUAUAACGGUCCUAAGGUAGCGAAAUUCCUUGUCGGGUAAGUUCCGACCUGCACGAAUGGCGUAAUGAUGGCCACGCUGUCUCCACCCGAGACUCAGUGAAAUUGAAAUCGCUGUGAAGAUGCAGUGUACCCGCGGCUAGACGGAAAGACCCCGUGAACCUUUACUACAGCUUGGCACUGAACAUUGAACCUACAUGUGUAGGAUAGGUGGGAGACUUAGAAGCGCAGUCGCUAGAUUGCGUGGAGUCGUCCUUGAAAUACCACCCUUGUAGUUUUGAUGUUCUAACGUUGGCCCCUAAUCGGGGUUGCGGACAGUGCCUGGUGGGUAGUUUGACUGGGGCGGUCUCCUCCCAAAGAGUAACGGAGGAGCACGAAGGUGGGCUAAACACGGUUGGACAUCGUGUGGUUAGUGCAAUGGCAUAAGCCCGCUUAACUGCGAGAAUGACAAUUCGAGCAGGUACGAAAGUAGGUCAUAGUGAUCCGGUGGUUCUGAAUGGAAGGGCCAUCGCUCAACGGAUAAAAGGUACUCCGGGGAUAACAGGCUGAUACCGCCCAAGAGUUCAUAUCGACGGCGGUGUUUGGCACCUCGAUGUCGGCUCAUCACAUCCUGGGGCUGAAGUCGGUCCCAAGGGUAUGGCUGUUCGCCAUUUAAAGUGGUACGCGAGCUGGGUUUAGAACGUCGUGAGACAGUUCGGUCCCUAUCUGCCGUGGGCGUUGGAAGAUUGAAGGGGGCUGCUCCUAGUACGAGAGGACCGGAGUGGACGAACCUCUGGUGUUCGGGUUGUUACGCCAGUAGCAUUGCCCGGUAGCUAAGUUCGGAAUCGAUAACCGCUGAAAGCAUCUAAGCGGGAAGCGAGCCCUGAGAUGAGUCUUCCCUGGCACUUUAAGUGUCCUAAAGGGUUGUUCGAGACUAGAACGUUGAUAGGUUGGGUGUGUAAGCGCUGCGAGGCGUUGAGCUAACCAAUACUAAUUGCCCGUGAGGCUUAACCAUACAACACCGAAGGGGUUUUGU
rnacentral:rRNA from 1 species